AAAUUGAAGAGUUUGAUCAUGGCUCAGAUUGAACGCUGGCGGCAGGCCUAACACAUGCAAGUCGAGCGGAAACGAGUUAUCUGAACCUUCGGGGAACGAUAGCGGCGUCGAGCGGCGGACGGGUGAGUAAUGCCUAGGAAAUUGCCCUGAUGUGGGGGAUAACCAUUGGAAACGAUGGCUAAUACCGCAUGAUGCCUACGGGCCAAAGAGGGGGACCUUCGGGCCUCUCGCGUCAGGAUAUGCCUAGGUGGGAUUAGCUAGUUGGUGAGGUAAGGGCUCACCAAGGCGACGAUCCCUAGCUGGUCUGAGAGGAUGAUCAGCCACACUGGAACUGAGACACGGUCCAGACUCCUACGGGAGGCAGCAGUGGGGAAUAUUGCACAAUGGGCGCAAGCCUGAUGCAGCCAUGCCGCGUGUGUGAAGAAGGCCUUCGGGUUGUAAAGCACUUUCAGUCGUGAGGAAGGCGGCGUCGUUAAUAGCGGCGUUGUUUGACGUUAGCGACAGAAGAAGCACCGGCUAACUCCGUGCCAGCAGCCGCGGUAAUACGGAGGGUGCGAGCGUUAAUCGGAAUUACUGGGCGUAAAGCGCAUGCAGGUGGUUUGUUAAGUCAGAUGUGAAAGCCCGGGGCUCAACCUCGGAAUUGCAUUUGAAACUGGCAGACUAGAGUACUGUAGAGGGGGGUAGAAUUUCAGGUGUAGCGGUGAAAUGCGUAGAGAUCUGAAGGAAUACCGGUGGCGAAGGCGGCCCCCUGGACAGAUACUGACACUCAG
rnacentral:rRNA from 1 species